UCCAUAAACGUUUUGCAUAUAAUUGCCUGUAGUUAUCAGUUUAUUCACAUUUAAAAUCUUUUUAAAUAUUUUGAAAUGAUCUAAAAAUUAAGAUGGUCGAAAAUGGGUCGAAAAACAGUAAACGAAUCAAAAAAAUGGCAAAGUGUUAAAAAGGAUGGCUUCAUAAUCAGUAACAAAGAAAUGAAGAUUAAAAAUUUUAAAAAAUCACGUCAAAAAACUCAGAAAAUGUUGAAAACAAUAAGUGGCAACCAACUUCAUGCAGAAUCCGGAAAGUUUAAAAAAAAAAGGAGUGCAAAAGUAAUCUUAUAUUUCGUCAAGAGCCAAAUCAAGGUUAAAAAGUUGUGAACUAACAGAUUAGUUACUUCAAAAAAUUCAAUCAUAAAAUAUGUCUUGCUUUAAAUAUAUAUAAAAACGUUAAAGAUCAGUAGCCAUCGAUUGAAACAAAGGGUGACAGUUUCAUCAAGAUUUAGAGCCUUAUCACGCAGCUUGUACAUUCAAAAGAUGAAAGAAAACAAAGUAGAUUUACUGCCCUGGCCAGCUCAAUCAUCAGAUAUGAAUUCAAAUAAAUUUGUUCGGGUCUGGAUGAUCAACGAGUAAAUCAAGGUUCAAUUAAGAUCCAUAAACACCCAAAAGCAUUCCAGGAAGACCUGAAAAUCUUGAGCACCGAGGAUAAGUAUUUAACUAGGAAGUACACUCCUCCUUCCUUACCGAUGACGCAAAAUAUAUCCAGAGCUCGCAUUGAACUCUGGAUCCCUUGCUUAUAAAACAAAUGCUCUAACCAUUGGUUAUUUUGAAAAUUAUGAGGUAGUAUAACACCAAGUAUUAUGACGUAGUUUAACACCAAGUUUUGCAUCUAAGGCUUAUCUAUUUUUUAACAUUUUUUUAGUUGUGCAUUUUUUUUUUUUUUUGAUGUGCAUGAGUUUAUUGGGCAUUCACACGUAAUAAAAAAAUUUUUAUACUAAAGUUA